GACGAACGCUGGCGGCGUGCUUAACACAUGCCAGUCGAACGGAAAGGCUCUGCUUUUGUGGGGUGCUCGAGUGGCGAAGGGGUGAGUAACACGUGAGUAACCUGCCCUUGUCUUUGGGAUAACUUCAGGUAACUGGGGCUAAUACCGGAUAGGAGCUCCUGCUGCCUGGUGGGGGUUGGAAAGUUUCGGCGGUUGGGGAUGGACUCGCGGCUUAUUAGCUUGUUGGUGGGGUAGUGGCUUCUCAAGGCUUUGACGGGUUGCCGGCCUGCGAGGGUGACCGGCCACAUUGGGACUGAGAUACGGCCCAGACUCCUACGGGAGGCAGCAGUGGGGAAUAUUGCACAAUGGGCGGAAGCCUGAUGCAGCAACGCCGCGUGCGGGAUGACGGCCUUCGGGUUGUAAACCGCUUUCGCCUGUGACGAAGCGUGAGUGACGGUAAUGGGUAAAGAAGCACCGGCUAACUACGUG
rnacentral:rRNA from 1 species